rnacentral:rRNA from 1 species
GCUCAGAACGAACGCUGGCGGCGUGCUUAACACAUGCAAGUCGAGCGGUAGCAGGCGUAGCAAUACGUGCUGACGAGCGGCGAACGGGUGAGUAAUGCUUUGGAAUCUGCCUAGUAGUGGGGAAUAACCUGGGGAAACUCAGGCUAAUACCGCAUACGACCUAAGGGUGAAAGCGGGGGAUCGCAAGACCUCGCGCUAUUAGAUGAGCCAAAGUCGGAUUAGCUAGUUGGUGGGUUAAAGGCCUACCAGGGAAACGAUCCGUAGCUGGUCUGAGAGGACGACCAGCCACACNGGUACCGAGACACGG